AUCCAGCAGACGAGUGCCAAAUAGGACGAAACGCGCGUUCUGGAU
rnacentral:hammerhead_ribozyme from 1 species